GGACGAACGCUGGCGGCGUGCUUAACACAUGCAAGUCGAACGGUGAAGCCUUUCGGGGUGGAUCAGUGGCGAACGGGUGAGUAACACGUGGGCAAUCUGCCCUGCACUCUGGGACAAGCCCUGGAAACGGGGUCUAAUACCGGAUAUGACCUGCUCUSGCAUGGGGGUGGGUGGAAAGCUUCGGCGGUGCAGGAUGAGCCCGCGGCCUAUCAGCUUGUUGGUGGGGUGAUGGCCUACCAAGGCGACGACGGGUAGCCGGCCUGAGAGGGCGACCGGCCACACUGGGACUGAGACACGGCCCAGACUCCUACGGGAGGCAGCAGUGGGGAAUAUUGCACAAUGGGCGGAAGCCUGAUGCAGCGACGCCGCGUGAGGGAUGACGGCCUUCGGGUUGUAAACCUCUUUCAGCAGGGAAGAAGCGUGAGUGACGGUACCUGCAGAAGAAGCACCGGCUAACUACGU
rnacentral:rRNA from 1 species